CAAUAAUACGGGAGAACUCAAGGGUGGAUCGGCAUGUAACCCCUUUAUCCUCAGAAAGGGGGUGAUGCCGAUGACGGUGUUUGAAGCGUUAAUGUUUGCGAUCGCUUUCGCAAGCUUAAUCGUUUCUAUUCUAUCCUUUCACCAAAAGAAAUAGCCCACCCUUGAGUUAGCAGCCCAUCGGUGGACUAUUUCCCCAUAUGGCUGAUCCCCCUUGCAGGGAACCGUGUUAUUGCAGGGCCAAGGGUGUUGCAGCAUCCUUGG
rnacentral:sRNA from 2 species